GCUGGCGGCGUGCUUAACACAUGCAAGUCGAGCGGUAAGGCCCUUCGGGGUACACGAGCGGCGAACGGGUGAGUAACACGUGGGUGAUCUGCCUCGCACUUCGGGAUAAGCCUGGGAAACUGGGUCUAAUACCGGAUAUGACCUGCUGUCGCAUGGCGGUGGGUGGAAAGAUUUAUCGGUGCGAGAUGGGCCCGCGGCCUAUCAGCUUGUUGGUGGGGUAAUGGCCUACCAAGGCGACGACGGGUAGCCGGCCUGAGAGGGCGACCGGCCACACUGGGACUGAGACACGGCCCAGACUCCUACGGGAGGCAGCAGUGGGGAAUAUUGCACAAUGGGCGAAAGCCUGAUGCAGCGACGCCGCGUGAGGGAUGACGGCCUUCGGGUUGUAAACCUCUUUCGACAGGGACGAAGCGCAAGUGACGGUACCUGUAGAAGAAGCACCGGCCAACUACGUG
rnacentral:rRNA from 1 species